UGACAGCUGAGCUACAAAUUUUCUGAGGGAAACUUCAGCGCCCACUACGACCUUGAAUAGACACAAAUGACAUAAACAUGACACACUCUGUACAGGACAGAAGCCGGCCGGUAAAGCAGCACUAGCAGCAGAGAGCAUUUAAUUCGAUGAAGAAGAGAGAGAGAGAGAGAAAGAGAGAGAGAGAGAGACUUUACCUACACAGAACAUCCUUUGCUCAGAUAACUGCUGCAGCAGCACAUCUGCACCCUCUCUGCCAAUCACAUCCUGAUGCCCUGGAAGCCUGUGUUCUCUCCCUGAGCCACCAGGGGGCAUCAGUCCCACAGCGGGACACCCAGCACUGAGUCUGAAUUCACCCUGAACCCCCCGGCUCCAGUCAAGCUGUCCCAUCCUGCUCCCCCUCCCUCCUCUUCUUCUCCUCCUGCUUCUCU